rnacentral:rRNA from 1 species
UGCAGAAUCCCGUGAACCAUCGAGUCUUUGAACGCAAGUUGCGCCUGAAGCCAUUCGGCCGAAGGCACGUCUGCCUGGGCGUCACGUACCCAAUCGCUCCCCAAAACCUCCCACAUUUUUACGGAUUUGUGGAUGGCUCGGAGGGCGGAGAUUGGCCUCCCGUGCUGUAACGGCGCGGAUGGCCUAAAAGCAAAGCAUCGAGCGACGAAACGUCACGACAAGUGGUGGUUGAUAAAGCCCUAGCGGCAGCCUCAUCGUGUCGUGUGCGUCCAGUCGCGUUCGAUAGCCCAACGACCCCUACACGUCUCGACGAAUUCUGUCGCGACCCCAGGUCAGGCGGGACUACCCGCUGAGUUUAA